UACGUAGGGACCGAGCGUUGUCCGGAUUCAUUGGGCGUAAAGAGCUCGUAGGCGGCCACUCAAGUCGAAUGUGAAACCUCGAGGCUUAACCUCGAGCCUGCAUUCGAUACUGGGCGGCUAGAGUCUGGUAGGGGAUCGUGGAAUUCCUGGUGUAGCGGUGGAAUGCGCAGAUAUCAGGAGGAACGACCGAUUGCGAAGGCAGCUCGCUGGAACGUUACUGACGCUGAGACGCGAAAGCGUGGGAGCAAACAGG
rnacentral:rRNA from 1 species